AUGCUGACAUGAGUAGCGAUAAAGAGGGUGAGAGACCCUCUCGCCGAAAGACCAAGGGUUCCUGCGUAAAGCUAAUCUGCGCAGGGUUAGUCGGCCCCUAAGGCGAGGCCGAAAGGCGUAGUCGAUGGGAACCACGUUAAUAAUCGUGGGCCUGGUGGUAGUGACGGAUCUCGUGUGUUGUAUCUCCUUAUUGGAUUGGAGGUGCAGCGAAGAGGUUCCAGGAAAUAGCUCCACCGUAUAAACCGUACCCGAAACCGACACAGGUGGUCAGGUAGAGAAUACCAAGGCGCUUGAGAGAACUAUGCUGAAGGAACUCGGCAAAAUGCUCCCGUAAGUUCGCGAGAAGGGAGACCUCCACUUAGGCAACUAGGUGGGGGUGGCACAGACCAGGGGGUGGCGACUGUUUAUUAAAAACACAGGGCUCUGCGAAGUCGUAAGACGACGUAUAGGGUCUGACGCCUGCCCGGUGCCGGAAGGUUAAGAGGAGAGGUGCAAGCUUUGAAUCGAAGCCCCGGUAAACGGCGGCCGUAACAAUAACGGUCCUAAGGUAGCGAAAUUCCUUGUCGGGUA
rnacentral:rRNA from 1 species